CAGCAGCCGCGGUAAUACGUAGGUGGCAAGCGUUGUCCGGAAUUAUUGGGCGUAAAGGGCUCGCAGGCGGUUUCUUAAGUCUGAUGUGAAAGCCCCCGGCUCAACCGGGGGGGGUCAUUGGAAACUGGGAAACUUGAGUGCAGAAGAGGAGAGUGGAAUUCCACGUGUAGCGGUGAAAUGCGUAGAGAUGUGGAGGAACACCAGUGGCGAAGGCGACUCUCUGGUCUGUAACUGACGCUGAGGAGCGAAAGCGUGGGGAGCGAACAGGAUUAGAUACCCCGGUAGUCCCUGUCUCUUAUAC
rnacentral:rRNA from 1 species